ACCAAGAAAGGAGGAGGGGGGGUGAUGGAGCGCGCGAGAGAGAACGAGAGAAACAAAACGUGACUAGGCAGCCAAAGCGUCCUGUUAUGCAACUACUGACCUACUAACAUACAUUUUGAGACAGAGAGCGAGAGGGAGUGAGAGAGCGAAACUGGAGCAAGUUAUCAACAUAACAUGAGGGAUUCAAAGUAAAACAGGAGACAAGGAAUCCAUGGACACAUUGAGACACUAACCCUAGAGUGAGUGCAGCACGACCGCGCGGUACGUUUCAACGCAAACUCGGGAGACAAAUACAUACGGUACAGAAAGAAAAGAACGAGCCGAGGAACAGAAGCGCUGGAACACUAGAUCUCUAACGUCACAACGCCAAGCCCUUUGUCCUGCGCCCAGCUGGGGAGGAGAGAGACCGCGCGCCGUCGGGGGAGAGCAGAGAGCCGAGGGUGACCGAGUGACCUACAUCCCGCGCGCACACGCGCACGCACACAGCCUCGAGCGCCAGACCACCACCGCACGGCCAACGCCGUCUCGGAAAGAUCAGAAAGAAAAGCAAACGCACGCAAAGACAA